rnacentral:rRNA from 1 species
CGUGGAGACAGGUGGUGCAUGGCUGUCGUCAGCUCGUGUCGUGAGAUGUUGGGUUAAGUCCCGCAACGAGCGCAACCCUCACCCCUUGUUGCCAUCAGGUCAUGCUGGGCACUCUAGAGGAACUGCCCCGGUCAACGGGGAGGAAGGCGGGGAUGACGUCAAGUCAUCAUGCCCCUUACGUCCUGGGCUACACACGUGCUACAAUGGCCGGUACAAAGGGAUGCCACACCGCGAGGUAGAGCUAAACCCAAAAAGCCGGUCUAAGUUCAGAUUGGAGUCUGCAACUCGACUCCAUGAAGGAGGAAUCGCUAGUAAUCGCGUAUCAGCACGACGCGGUGAAUACGUUCCCGGGCCUUGUACACACCGCCCGUCACACCACGAAAGCCGGCUGUACUCGAAGUCGCUGAG